rnacentral:rRNA from 1 species
GACGAACGCUGGCGGCGUGCUUAACACAUGCAAGUCGAACGGAAAGGCCCUGCUUUUGUGGGGUGCUCGAGUGGCGGACGGGUGAGUAACACGUGAGUAACCUGCCCUUGACUUUGGGAUAACUUCAGGAAACUGGGGCUAAUACCGGAUAGGAGCUCCUGCUGCAUGGUGGGGGUUGGAAAGUUUCGGCGGUUGGGGAUGGACUCGCGGCUUAUCAGCUUGUUGGUGGGGUAGUGGCUUACCAAGGCUUUGACGGGUAGCCGGCAUGAGAGGGUGACCGGCCACAUUGGGACUGGGAUACGGCCCAGACUGCUACGGGAGGCAGAAGUGGGGAAUAUUGCACAAUGGGCGGAAGCCUGAUGCAGCAACGCCGCGUGCGGGAUGACGGCCUUCGGGUUGUAAACAGCUUUCGCCUGUGACGAAGCGUGAGUGACGGUAAUGGGUAAAGAAGCACCGGCUAACUACGUG